ACCAAUUAGCAAAUAUCAAUGGGUAAAGUAACUUCAAAAGAAAUCAUUUAGGUGUCAAAAUUGGUAACGAAGAAAUACGCUUCACUCGGGAUCUGAAAUAAACUUGGAUCUGAAGUGGUGUCCGAUCUUUCGUCUCGGGUAGGAGAAACAAGCCAAACA